UCUCUCUUUCUCUCAGACAAAUAUAGCCGUUGCCGACUUACCGAUUACAGAAAUCAGAGUCCGUCAAAAACCCUAAAUUGAGAGAUUCCUUCCUCCACUGCCUUUUUUUUUAUAUAAAUAACCCCAAAUUUCUAACUUUCUCUCAAUCACUUCAAUCUGCGAAGAACAACAAUUCUCUCUCUCUCUCUCUUGCGCUCGGCUCUCUCUCUCUCUCUGCUCGAAUUUACUAACGCUUCCCAUCUCAGCAGGAUUCAGUUUGAUUCAUCUUUUAUCUAAUCGCUCGUUUAAUCUUUCAACUUAGAUCUUCUAAUCCGUUUCGUUUCGUAUAAUCCCCAAUCGCUUUUGUGUGUGUUUUCUAUUUGUCUUUUGUGUUUGUUUGUUUGUUUGUUUGUUGAUAAUAAUGGAUACAGGAUUGAAUCGGUGCCCACUUCAAGAACACUUCAUCAAGAGUCCAUGGUGAAAAUGGCUGAGCUCACCGGUCAUACAUCAAGAGUUCUAUAUAUGGCCCAGAGUCCAGAUGGUUGUACCGUAGCUUCAGCAGCAGGAGACGAGACUCUGAGAUUCUGGAAUGUUUUUGGAGUACUAGAGACCGCCAAAAAAGCUGCUCCAAAAGCAGUUUCCGAGCCAUUUUCUCACGUGAAUCGUAUUCGUUGAAGCUGUGACUAAAACAACAAGGAAACCCAUUGAUUAUUACAGAAAGAAACUAUUUUUUUAUUACUAAAGGAUUCAUUCUUCGUGAACUGUAUUUGACAAAUUGAGAUUGAGUAUAUAAAGAUUACUUGUAUA